rnacentral:rRNA from 1 species
UACGUAGGGGGCUAGCGUUGCUCGGAAUCACUGGGCGUAAAGCGCACGUAGGCGGAUUGUUAAGUCAGGGGUGAAAUCCUGGAGCUCAACUCCAGAACUGCCUUUGAUACUGGCGAUCUCGAGUCCGGGAGAGGUGAGUGGAACCGCGAGUGUAGAGGUGAAAUUCGUAGAUAUUCGCAAGAACACCAGUGGCGAAGGCGGCUCACUGGCCCGGUACUGACGCUGAGGCACGAAAGCGUGGGGAGCAAACAGG